rnacentral:rRNA from 1 species
GGGGCGCUUCGUCGCUGCAUCCAUGUGGGUACAAAGGAUUGGCCCGUCGUUUCCAUUGUUUAGAAGAAAGAAAAAAAUGUGUUCGCUUGCCCUGCCCUCAUUCCCCAUCCGCACAUCCCUCUCCCUCCCUCGUCUGCCGCCGCCACCACCACCACCGGCGACCUCCUCCAUGGUUGCCACCCCACCCCCUUCUCUCCCCCCUUACCUUCUCCUCAUCAGCGACCUCCUUCCCUCCCCCUCACCGGAUCCGAGGCGUGCGGGCGCGGAGGCGAGCUUCUUCAGCGGUGUCCGCCUCCCUCUCAUCUCCUCUGCUACUGCUCCGCCUCUCCAACCGCCCCGGGUCGCAGCCGCACCGCACGACGGCAGGCCAGGCGAGCUGCACCGCACCAGGUGGGCUAGGGCGAUCUCCAACGCGAGCGCGCGCACCCGUUGCCCACGCCAGCGUGGUCCCCGGCCCCGAGCAACAGGAACACAUGGUUCCUACCCGGGUCGCCGUAGCCGACACCGUCAAAGAGAGGUGGCGGUGUGGACAAGGACGCCAUGGCUGUCUUCGCCGAGAGCGUCCGCAUCUUCAUCCACUGUCUCUCCACCAUGACCAUGAGUAGGGUUGCUCAUCAUUAAGAAGUGUGUUUGUUCAUGGAUAGUUGCACAGUGGAGGAAGAAUUUGGUUAUUUGGAGUGUGCACUGGAGUUAUUGGAAGAUAAUUCCAUUACUAGAUCACAACUUUUGGGACAUAAGUACAGGUGUUUGAUGAAAGUUCAGCAACAUCCAAGCAUGCUCAACUCCAGUUCGCCAACACUCAAAAUUUAAACAAAACGAGAACAUCGAGUGUGCACUACUGAUGCCAUCAUGGCAUUAUUAUGUCACCAUGAACAUUGGGGAUCCGGCCAAGCCUUACUUCCUGGGUAGCCCAAGUUUGCUUGACUGUUGGUUGUGCAGUCCUUUAUUCUGUAACUGUACCUUGACUAUCAAGGCAUGCAGUGCCAUUUGUUUCUUGUAAACUUGUCUUACCUUUCAUGCAUUUGUCUGUUUAGAUAUUGUAAUUUGAUUUCCCGCUUCUCCGUAGAACAAAGGAGGAGGUAUGGCAUGCAAUCUAUUGGAAAUGUGUUGAUGUACUUCUUAACAGGAAGGUUGUUGACAAUAACCACACGUAAUUUUCUGGCAUCUAUGCUAUUCUCUGUACUAACACAUGCUGGUGUUGCUGUCAGUCUUCCAUGGCAGGUCUGAAAGUUGGGAAUAGAAGCAUAAAUAUGAGAAAAUCAACGAAAUAAAAAUUGCUACCAUUUAGGCAUCUUAUUUAUUGUAUUCUCUUACAUGUAGGUCCUCUGUCAUGAAUAUCCUACUGAAUUUGCAUCUUAUUUUCAUUACUACCGCUCACUGCGUUAUGAAAAUACGUCAGACUAUCAGAUCUCAAGAAAUUGUUCUGCUUGAGAGUGCAGAUGGCGUAAGGCAGGAAAGGAAAAAGGCUUUUUGUGGUGAUCGGGAUCAAUACCGCCUUCGGUAGCAAGAAGCGUCGUGAUUCUGUCAGGGGGACCUGGAUGCCUCAAGGUGAGAAACUCAAGAAAUUGGAAGAGGAAAGGGGAGUCGUCAUUUGAUUUAUGACCGCUUCAUUUCGUGUUUCCUCUGUGUGGUGUGAGGUGCGUGUUGUUUUGAGAGCUUGAAGCAAGCAGAACGCCUAAGGAGCGUCCUGGGGAUGACAGAGGCAUUGGCGACGACAUCAGGCGAGAGAUGAAGACGACAUCGAUCAAGAGCUGCUUGCACAACCAGAGGCGGCAUGGGCUCAACGCAAGUGGACCAUCAUCCAGCACGUCUUGUUCCUGUCCAUGCGACAUUUCCUCAUACAUGAGGGCUACAUCAUUUACAAAUUUUGAUUAUGUACGCCUACAAGGUAUUUGUUGAAAAUCCCAGAGGGCUGGCAGGGAAGGAGUGGUCUAUAUAAGCCAUGUGAUUCCAUUCUUCAAAAAAUCAGUACCAGACAAUCAUAACAAGAUGAUUUUGAGAUUAACGAGAAUCCAUGAGAUGAAUAAAAGUAUGAAGAAACAAGGAAUUCUGUCACAGGAGAAACUGUGGUACAACACUUCAACACGGCACAGGAGGCAGAUCAGGGCAACUUCAAGGAUAAGGCAACAUCUGCAGACCUGGAGGUGGUUGAGGUGACCUUGCUGUUGGAGUGGUUUGCCGAAAAUUAUCGGCAGUUUGGUUGCACGCUGGAGCUUAUCACAAACAACACACAGGAUCUCAGUUCUGUACGGGCUAUGGUGGGAUAGGAGGGAUCCUGCGCUACCGGGUUGAGGUGAACGCUUACGAAGACACACUUGAUAAGGAGUAUGAUGAAGACUUUGAAGACCAGUCAACUGAAACUCCAGUGAAUUCAGUACAGGAGGAGCAUGUCCUAGCCCGGAACCGGAACGCGCUACGCGCCACAGCAGGAGGCUGAGGCAUCUACAAGCUCAUCGAGGAAAGCUUAAGGAAGACAACGAGAAGACUUGAGAAAUGAUGAUAUAAAGUAUGCUGCUGUUGCAUGAGUUAAGUCCUCUCAGCGUGAUCUAGACAAAUCUAAGACAAGUAAUUUGGGAUGGAGGUAAUACAAACCAAAGUAAUUUUGCCCAACAAUCACCAAGCCACAUACAUGCGACAUUGUACCGAGUAGGCAAUCCAACUUUCUUUUGACAGUGAGUAGGAAAAAAAUGGCAUGACUUCAAGUGCGACCACUAGAACUGUGUGAGAUACCCUUUUUUGUAAUAGAUGAUGCGUCAUCAACACAUCCUGAUAGUGAGCUGUGUUUGAACCUAUGGAGAUUGCUUCUGUAGACAAGCUUUACAAGAUCUUCGAGAGAGGCCAGCUAACACGUAGGCCAUCAGUCACUUCAUAUGUAGAGAAGGGAUGGACAGCGCGACUGACGCCUUUGCUGGUUCCUUCUGGCACGUGUAUAUAUAAUGUGGUGGCACUAUCAAAGUUGAAGUACUGAUUGUGCCCAUUCCAAAUGAACUGUUUCUCUGAACUUUGUUCUUAAAUAGACACAUCGGGUCAUCCCUCCUCGGUAAAGGGGUUAGUUUGUUUGUUCUUUCAUCAGCUCACUCCAAGCUUGAUUACAUGGAGCAUUAUGAAAAGGUUCCUUGGAUCUUCUUGGUCUGCAACAACUGUUGAUGCUGG